UCUAGGCUCUUUUAAUAUUGACUUAUAAGAUUAUUUUUGGUUUUGGUUAGAUUAAAGUUAAACGCGUUUGAAAUUUUAAUAAUUUAACUAAUACACUCCAAAUAAACAAUCAUUCAAAAGUACUUUUAAUCUUCUACACAUAUCUAAAACUAGUAACUCUUUUAGAAUAUAUAUUUAGAGGAGUGUACCCAAAGAGACCACGUCUCUACGUUGAACGAUUGAACUACACUCCUAAUAAAAAAAAUCUCUAUAGUGGACAUGUAGUUAACAUACUGGGGUAGUAAAUCACAUUUGUACUAAUCAAUAACGAAAAAGAAACCUUAGAUUCCAAAACUGGCGAAGUUAACUUUGGCGCUGUAGAACUGAUGGACAACAAGAAGAAGCUGUGGCCGACGACAACUAACCAACGAGAAAGGGCAAUGGCAAGCGCAAGCGCUUUCCAAUCUAUGACUCUCAAUCCUUCUUUCAUGUGCAAGAUGUCAACUUCACACAUUCAUCCAGGAAAAUCUCUUAGUAUACCAAGAAGGCUUGUAGAGAUGCAUAUAGAAAAGUCCAUGGAGAGCAUUCUUCAAAUUUCCGAUGGAAGAACUUGGGAAGGUAGUUGUUGUUGGUAUAUGACUAAAAUGAUGAAAUAGAGGGCUGAAUUGAUAAGUGGUUGGAGGAAGUUUAAGAAGGACAAUAACUUGAAAGUUGGCGAUUUCUGUGUUUUUGAGAUGAUUGGAUUAAGUAGUACGAGAAUCUCUUUCAAAGUUGAAAUUUUUCGAGCUUCUAGUUGAUCAACCAAAUCUAUUAUCGAACAAUAUAAGCAAUGGCGUGGAGCAGGUAGGAGGUGUACUAGAACAUUUACCUAAGUUGACACAUUUUAGCACCCAAUCAACUAAAUCAAUCAACUUGGAAAAGAAAAGGGUUCACUACUGUUAUGUUAUUUUGGAGGUUGAUUAUCCUCUCACAUGUAAACGUUUUGGUAUUAUAUAUGUUUCUUUCUGUCGUUGUUUUGAAAAGUGAACAAGCAAAUCAAUCCAGCAAAAGAAAUUAAAGAGAAGGUUGCAAGAAAGCAUCGGAUGAACUGAUAGAUUUGAGGAGAGGUAAUUUUUGGGGGAUCAAAUGGAACCCGUGCAUGGACCCCAACCACGGUUACCAAACUGGUAUAGUAGAAUGUGGUAGCCAUGUAGUGAUUGAAAUUAAGUUGUAAAUUGGGUACAUGAUUUAGCCACGUAUAGUCUAACAGUUUCAUGAUUCCUAA